CACACGUCCGUCCGUCCCUCGCCCUGGGCAGCCACACACACACACACACACACACACACACACACACACACACACACACACACACACACACACACACACACACACCUGUACCAGUGACACCCUGCUCAUUCACAAGUCGUGGCUGCCCCAAGUUGACGUUUUUCGCCCCGCCCCGUUUUCUGUGCCCGCCACCCUGCCUGCCGUAAGGUCGGCGGCACAGUGCUGGGCUGCCGCAGCGUCGACCCUCCGCCCAUCGAUCGCCCCCCGCGUCGUCAAGGGCGAUGUUCCCACCCCGCCGCUGCCUGCCGCCGCCCCUAAGGCCAAGGCUCGCUGCGGCACCGUGCCCGCGGAGGCCAGACGCGGCGGCAGACACCUGGGCGGCAGGUGCACCCGCCCCCACCCCCCCCCAAAGGAUGAGUCACGGGGGCACCCAGACGUCUGCCGGGUGAAGGGUGACGGGGUACUCGUUCCGGUGUGCGAUGGAUGUGUUGGGGUGUGAGGGGACACGAGGGGAAGGAAGGAAGCAAGGAAUCGGGCCGCGAGGGACGAGGUGACGGAGGACUUGACUGCCGUGUGAUGGAUAUGUCUGGUGUGAGGGUACGGGAGGGAACAAAGGGACGGAGAGGGGGUUGAGGGAAGGUAAGGGGAGGGGAAGACGGUGUGGAGAGCUGAUGAAAGGAAGCUGUGGGGCGUGAGGAAGGGAAGGAAGGAGGGGAGAGAUGUGCCGAAAUGAGGGGAAAGGUAGUAGCCGAGAAACUAGACGAGGGGAGAGGUCGUAGGGUGGACAAGGCGAGGUCGCGGGGGAGGAAGGAAGGGCUUGAGAAGGAAAAGUCGUGACGGGAGAUGAACUUGUUGACAGUGAUGGAGUGAGCGGGGCGAGGGUGGAAUGAUGUAACGUGCGAGGAGGGAACGGAGCGAGCACGAGAGAAGAGGGAGAAGUGGAGGUGCAAGGAGAGUUAGAGGAGUGUGACGUAUGAAUUUGAAUGAGGGAAGGACGGGUACGAUAUGGAAAUUAGUGGGAACAUUGUUGAAGUUAGUGAAAUGAGAUAACCGGUAGGGAGAGGAAGAAAGUUAAUGAGAUAUGCAUGUAGGAAGAUGUGACUAGUUUAGGUGUUGAAGUUAGUGAAAUGAGAUAACCGGUAGGGAGAGGAAGAAAGUUAAUGAGAUAUGCAUGUAGGAAGAUGUGACUGGUUAAGGGAAAGAGGGUGAGACAAGCCAAGACAGAGAGUAGAGAUAGAUGUUGAGGUUAGUGAAAUGAGAUAACAGGUAGGGAGAGGAAGAAAGUUAAUGAUAUGCAUGUAGGAAGAUGUGACUGGUUAAGGGAAAGAGGGUGAGACUAGUCAAGACAGAGAGUAGAGAUAGAUGUUGAGGUUAGUGAAAUGAGAUAACAGGUAGGGAGAGGAAGAAAGUUAAUGAGAUAUGCAUGUAGGAAGAUGUGACUGGUUAAGGGAAAGAGGGUGAGAGAAGUCAAGACAGAGUAGAGAUAGAUGUUGAAGUUAGUGAAAUGAGAUAACAGGUAGGGAGAGGAAGAAAGUUAAUGAGAUAUGCAUGUAGGAAGAUGUGACUGGUUAAGGGAAAGAGGGUGAGACAAGUCAAGACCGAGAGUAGAGAUAGAUGUUGAGGUUAGUGAAAUGAGAUAACAGGUAGGGAGAGGAAGAAAGUUAAUGAGAUAUGCAUGUAGGAAGAUGUGACUGGUUUAGGUGAAGAGGGCGAGACAAGAGAGUAAGGAGAGAUAGAUGUUGACGAAGAAGUGAGAUGCUUAACGAUGGACAUUAGAAUGAAAUGAAACGGAAAAUGUAAGAAUAGAGUAACAGAUAGAGCCGGAAGUGUGGAAGUAGAUGGCAAACUCAAGAAAUAAAAGGAAUACAAAUAGAGGAAGGAGUUAACGAAAAAAAUAUGUAAUGAGUAAGAGACUGAGUAUAGGGUGGAAAUUGAAAGUAAGAGAAACAUUGAGAAUACAGAUAGAGGAGAUAGAGACAGAGAGGGUUAAAGAAUAAUAGAGGUUGGUAAAACACACACUUCUUAUACAUAGAUAGGAAGAAGAAAAAAAGAUGAAAACUUACAACAAUAUUUUACAUGAAGACAGUGAAGGCGUGCACACUGACAAGCUUAAAGAGGAUAACAGAACCAGUAUGACGGGAGUAAGACCCACGAAAGACCACAAUAUAAGGCGACAGGUAGAUCAGACAGGUGGGACAGGUAGAGAGAGCACUCGUUUAGGUGGCAAUAUUGAAGGGGAAGAAAAACAGGUGUGAGAGGAAAUAUUAGACGUAAACAAAACACCCAGAAAGACUUGUGGUUAAUUGUGGUGCCAGAGAAUGAGGGGAAUAAUGAGUUAGUGUUUUGUUAAGAGAUGGAUAAUUAAAGAGGUUGUGGUUUAUUGCAGAAUGAGGAAAAAAAUAAGUUAGUGGAAAGAGAUGGAGGUGAUAAUUAGAGGUAGUGCUUUGUUAAGAGAUGGAUAGUUAAUGAGGUAGUGGUUUAUUACAGAGUGAGGAAAAAAAGUGAGUUAAAGAGAUAGGUGAUAAUUAGAAGUGUUUUGUGGUGUUGAUGUGGUGAACUAAUGACAAGGAGAAUAAUUAGAGCAAGAGUUGUGUGAUGGUAGCGUACUAAUGAUAGGGAAGGUAAUUACAGGUAGAAAGAAAGGUGUGGCGACGGUAGAGUUAGUGUUGCAUAAAUAUGGAGAUUAAUUAGAGGUGGGAAGACGAGUGUGGUAUGGUGGCGAUAGUGUUGCCGUGUUAGUGAUAAAGAGAAUAGAGGUAGGAUGGUGUGGUGGUGUGUGGUAUGUUAGUGGUAUUAGAAAGGAAUGCCAAGAGAUAGGACGGAGUGGAGAAGUAUGAUUUGAUGGAUGGUUGUAGUGGUGGCUGGGUUGAUUGUGAUGGUUGGUGGUAGUUGGCUUCAUAUGGUUGUGGUAGUGUUGGGUUGGUUAUAUGGUUGAGAUUGAUUGUGGUAGUGGUUGGGUUGAUUAUGGUUGUGGUGUUGGUUUGGGUGCUAUUGUUGGGUGCGGUGGUGGUUGAUAUGGUUGAUAAUAUGGUUGCUUGGUGGAUUUUGGUUGUGAUUAGCUAGGAGAGGCAAAAAAAAUGUGGGAAUAAUGAAAAUUUUAUAAGUUCCAUUUAUUAUUAUUAUUAUUAUUAUUAUUAUUAUUAUUAUUAUUAUUAUUAUUAUUAUUGUCUAGUAGUUAGUUUUGCCGAGCUGGCGCUGUCUUUAAUUUA